rnacentral:rRNA from 1 species
AUUGAACGCUGGCGGCAUGCUUUACACAUGCGAGUCGAACGGUAACAGGCCGCAAGGUGCUGACGAGUGGCGAACGGGUGAGUAAUGCAUCGGAACGUGCCCAGUCGUGGGGGAUAACGCAGCGAAAGCUGCGCUAAUACCGCAUACGAUCUAUGGAUGAAAGCGGGGGACCGUAAGGCCUCGCGCGAUUGGAGCGGCCGAUGCCAGAUUAGGUAGUUGGUGGGGUAAAGGCUCACCAAGCCAACGAUCUGUAGCUGGUCUGAGAGGACGACCAGCCACACUGGGACUGAGACACGGCCCAGACUCCUACGGGAGGCAGCAGUGGGGAAUUUUGGACAAUGGGCGCAAGCCUGAUCCAGCAAUGCCGCGUGCAGGAAGAAGGCCUCGGGUUGUAAACUGCUUUUUGUACGGAACGAAAACGGUCUGGGUUAAUACCCUGGGCUAAUGACGGUACCGUAAGAAUAAGCACCGGCUAACUACGUGCCAGCAGCCGCGGUAAUACGUAGGGUGCGAGCGUUAAUCGGAAUUACUGGGCGUAAAGCGUGCGCAGGCGGUUUUGUAAGACAGGCGUGAAAUCCCCGGGCUUAACCUGGGAAUUGCGCUUGUGACUGCAAGGCUGGAGUGCGGCAGAGGGGGAUGGAAUUCCGCGUGUAGCAGUGAAAUGCGUAGAUAUGCGGAGGAACACCGAUGGCGAAGGCAAUCCCCUGGGCCUGCACUGACGCUCAUGCACGAAAAGCGUGGGGGA